rnacentral:rRNA from 1 species
GAUGGACGCUAGCGGCAGGCCUAAUACAUGCAAGUCGAACGAUAUUAUCCAGCUUGCUGGAUAUGAAAGUGGCGCACGGGUGCGUAACGCGUAUGCAACCUACCUUAUUCAGGGGGAUAGCCCGAAGAAAUUCGGAUUAACACCGCAUAAAAUCACAGUACAGCAUUGGACAAUGAUCAAAUAUUUAUAGGAAUAAGAUGGGCAUGCGUGUCAUUAGCUAGUUGGCGGGGUAACGGCCCACCAAGGCGACGAUGACUAGGGGAUCUGAGAGGAUGGCCCCCCACACUGGUACUGAGACACGGACCAGACUCCUACGGGAGGCAGCAGUAAGGAAUAUUGGUCAAUGGAGGGAACUCUGAACCAGCCAUGCCGCGUGCAGGAAGACGGCCCUCUGGGUUGUAAACUGCUUUUAUUCGGAAAUAAACCUAUUUACGUGUAAAUAGCUGAAUGUACCGAAGGAAUAAGGAUCGGCUAACUCCGUGCCAGCAGCCGCGGUAA